rnacentral:rRNA from 1 species
UACGAAGGGGGCUAGCGUUGCUCGGAAUCACUGGGCGUAAAGGGUGCGUAGGCGGGUCUUUAAGUCAGGGGUGAAAUCCUGGAGCUCAACUCCAGAACUGCCUUUGAUACUGAGGAUCUUGAGUUCGGGAGAGGUGAGUGGAACUGCGAGUGUAGAGGUGAAAUUCGUAGAUAUUCGCAAGAACACCAGUGGCGAAGGCGGACUCACCUGGCCCGAGUACUGACGCUGAGGCACGAAAGCGUGGGGAAGCCAAACAG